UACGUAGGGUGCGAGCGUUGUCCGGAAUUAUUGGGCGUAAAGGGCUCGUAGGCGGUUUGUCGCGUCGGGAGUGAAAAUCCAGGGCUUAACUCUGGACUGGCUUCCGAUACGGGCAGACUAGAGGUGUGCAGGGGAGAACGGAAUUCCUGGUGUAGCGGUGAAAUGCGUAGAUAUCUGGAGGAAUACCGGUGGCGAAGGCGGCAUCCUGGACCGACAUUGACGCUGAUGAGCGAAAGCUAGGGGAGCAAACGGG
rnacentral:rRNA from 1 species